rnacentral:misc_RNA from 1 species
CAACCCCUCAAGCUCUGCUUGGUGUUGGGCCCGCGGGGUAAAACCCGCCGGCCUCAAUUCUAGUGGCGGUCUCUUGUGAACACCGAGCGUAGUAAUGCUUUCGCUUUGGGCCGAUCGAGAGUGCUGGCCGUAAAACCCCCCAAUCACUAAAA